rnacentral:misc_RNA from 1 species
GGAGGGGGGUGUUGUCACGAAUCCAGUGGAAUUUGUAAUCAAAGCCGCGAGAUUACAAUAACCUUACAUGUAAGAAACACAACCUGACCUAAUCAUUUCUGUUUCCCUCGGGACCUAAAAACAAUUGACCGAUGUUAUACCAUGUUAAGCUGUUAAUCAGGCUGGGUGAAGGAUAAGCUGUUACCAUAAACCUACCAUCAUAUCACAUCCUGCCUGCUAAGUCACCAGCUCUUCUUCUCAUUGGCCACUGCCAAUUCUGCUGUUACAAGUAAAUAGGCCUAAACAUCAAAUGGAACUGCAUAUAGGGAGAGGAUGAGCAUGGGUGCAUGAACACAUUCAUGCUUCAACACAUUGAUAAUAAUAAUAAGAAGAAACAAGGACUACUGAAUUAUACAUUUGCUAUGGAAGGAUUGUCGA